UGCUCUUCCAGCCGCUGGACCCUACCUCCGGCUGAGCCGUUUCCAGGGUGGGCAGGCUGUUAAACAGAAAAUAUAACUCUUUCCGGAAUUCCCGCCGACGUCUCCGGACUCCCUAACAUUGCCGUCAACAGCCACGUCCCAGUUCCGAAAUUUUAACCAGAUCCCCUUUCGAAGUUCACGCAUAAGCGCUAUGAGACGGGCUUCCUCCGACUCUUAGGAUCGACUAACCCAUGUGCAAGUGCCAUUCACAUGGAACCUUUCCCCUCUUCGGCCCUCAAAGUUCUCAUUUGAAUAUUUCCUACUACCACCAAGAUCUUCACCGACGGCCGCUCUGCCCGGGCUCGUGCCCUAGGUUUUGCAGCGACCGCCGCGCCCUCCUACUCAUCGAGGCCUGGCUCUUGCCCCGACGGCCGGGUAUAGGUCGCGCCCUUCAGCGCCAUCCAUUUUUGGGGCUAGUUGAUUCGGCAGGUGAGUUGUUACACACUCCUUAGCGGAUUUCAACUUCCAUGACCACCGUCCUGUUGUCUUAAUCGACCAACACCCUUUGUGGGUUCUAGGUUAGCGCGCAGUUAGGCACCAUAACCCGGCUUCCGGUUCAUGCCGCAUCGCCAGUUCUGCUUACCAAAAAUGGCCCACUUGGAGCUCUCGAUUCCGUGGGAUGGCUCAACAAAGCAGCCACCCUGUCCUACCUAUUUAAAGUUUGAGAAUAGGUCGAAGACAUUGCAUCCCCGAUGCCUCUAAUGAUUGGCUUUACCCGAUAGAACUCGUUUCCGAGCUCCAGCUAUCCUGAGGGAAACUUCAGAGGGAACCAGCUACUAGAUGGUUUGAUUAGUCUUUCGCCCCUAUACCCAAGUCAGACAAACGGUUUGCACGUCAGUAUCGCUGCGGGCCUCCACCAGAGUUUCCUCUGGCUUCGCCCCGCUCAGGCAUAGUUCACCAUCUUUCAGGUCCCGACAUGCAUGCUCACACUCGAACCCUUCUCAGAAGAUCAAGGUCGAUCGGCUGUGCACCCAUGAGGGAUCCAGCCAAUCAGCUUCCUUGCACCUUACGGGUUUACUCACCUGUUGACUCGCACACAUGUCAGACUCCUAGGUCCGUGUUUCAAGAUGGGUCGAAUGGGGAGCCAACAGGCCGACACCCUAGCACGCAGAUGCCGAGGCACGCCGUGAGGCGCGUGCUGCAGACCACGAUCAAGGCAGCAACGUCUCCGCGGGCGUAACAAAAGCCCUGGCUUAGGUCACCACCUUAAUCCACGUAGGUCCACGCCCCGAAUCCAUUGGCAGACCGGAUUGCUCCGUUCCGCAUCCAACCGGGAUGAAUCGCCGGACCCAUCCGCUUCCCUCCCGACAAUUUCAAGCACUCUUUGUAAGACCCGUUCCUGGUCUCUCGACCCAACUGGAUACGAAUGCUUACUUAUUAAUUUCUUUGCUUGUCUGAUUCAUUUUAAGUCUUUUAUUUACUAUGUCAUAUUCAAAUAUGAGGUUCAUAAACAAAGGAACAGAUUGCACAGCGGAAUAAUAAUGUGUUAACUUUGUAUUACUUAGAAACAUGAGAUCCAAUACACAACUUCUUAACAGUUUCAUAGACAAUCACUAGUUCAUCCCUAGCAUCAUCUAACCACACGUUACACAGCCUCUCACUGACCGAGCCUUCACGGAUCCUUGGCUUGACCAGAACCAUCCUUAGUUGCUGAAACCAUAACCAGAUAAGCAUUAAUCAUAACCGAGAAUAGAACAGAUCGUUUCUAUAAUGCUUGGCUUGGUUCCAAGAACAUAGAUAAACCUCAGUCAAUAUAAUCAUAAAAAGUAUGAACCUAUCUACCGUAUCCUAAGUCAUUCAACCAACCACCCCUUGACUUAGAAUCAGAUAGAUAGUCCAGAAUAGAUAAACAGAACACACGAACAGAUGUGGAUCGUCCCCAAAGACCAAUCUGUCUAACCGGAUAGAAUAUAGGUGCGACCGGCCAAUGAAGUCCAGCUCAAUGGCCCAACGGACUUCCUUACCUGAUCCGGCCUUGGCCUGGAUCCAAUCGGCCGAGUAAACCUCAGGUCCAAUCCGGAAGGCUUUAGCAACCGGUCAGACCUUGCGACUCUACCUUGGCUUAGACAAACGGUGACCUUGUCUUACUUAAACAAGCCAUAGGCUAAUCCAUAAGGAUCGGUCAUAACCUGUCCCGAAAGACACCGUUUGGAACAUGCACGCUCUGGCCAUUCGUACUGCUUGGUCCUCGUACCUUUUGAUGUUCGUAACCUUUGUUAUCUCAUACCUUUUGAUUACUUGCACCCUUUGGCAGCUCACAACCUUUGGUAACUCAUGACUCUUGACAACUCGUGCCCUUUGGGUCAUUCCCAACCGUUCGUCAUAACCGCCCAGUCUUGGUGCGAUUGAACCGACCGUCUAACCGACCCGUGUCUAGGUUAGCGGUUUGGUUAUGUUCGGCCAAAGCCUAGGGACGUGUCCCUUGGACUCAACAAACACAACCUUUCGUGUUUAACCAGAAAGAAGAGAAGAGAAACGAAUUAAAACAGAUAAGGAGAGCCGGAUGGGACUUAGGAACCGAGCAGAGCCGCGGUGCGAUCGCAUGGAUCGUCCGUUAGGUCUGAUGAAGCCACGGCCCAUCACAUACGUUGUGAACCACUUUUGGGUACUCCAUGCUCUUCUCCUUGUCUUGAUCUCCCAUUCUUGACCAGAGGUUGCUUUACAAACGAUCAGAGUCGCCGGAAACCUUACCACCCUAAACUCGGCCUUUCUCUUGGCCGGAACUCUCUCUCUCUCUUUCUCUCUCUCAACGUUUUUAUCUGAGUAUUUUAUUCUGGAAUUGGAUAAUGAAACCAACAGGAGAGACCCCAUAUUUAUAGAAAACGAGGGGGUAAGUCUUGCCCCACGAACAGGCAAGACUUGCUAGCGAAUGGGCACCAUCAGCCAAGGGUUGUGCCCUCUCGGCCACUUGCAUCCCAUCGCCCUUUCUGAUUGGGUUUGGCGUCGGUCAUAAGCCCAACCCACGCCCCAACCCUCCUAGACUUAGCCCACGGCCUUGUCCAAGGACCCAACAGCCCAUGGCCUCAUGGCCGGACCUCAUAGCCCGCCACUGACCCGGACCCGGACCAUCGGCCUAAAACCCGAACAGUUCGUCUAGCUGAUAUGAGCUGACUAUCAGCUGCCUCAGCUGAGUGAGCUAGUAGUCCAGCUAGUGGAGCUGACUUAGUAGGGACUGAGCUGGAGUGAACUAAACCUAGCUUCGUUGAGCUGGUCGAGCUACUCGUCUACUUUGUCCAGUUACCGUCUUACUCGUCCUAGCUGUCUCUUAGCUUAUAUAAGGUUAAGUCUAAGUUUCCUUAUGUCCUUAACCUUCUUUCUAGACGAUGGAACGUUUGUCUUGUUGUCCUAAGACUGGCUUGUACGUUUCCUUGAACCAUGGCCGUCCCAACAAUCCUAUCCAGGAUUGGGGGCGUGACAAGUCUCCCCCCCUUGGGAUGGAUUCGUCCUCGAAUCCGAAUCAAAUGUUUCCUCGGAAGCAAACUGAUCCAACCACUUUGGGUACUCUGCUUUCAUUCUAGCUCCCAAGGGAUUAUAUCCUGACCAUUAGAGUCCCAGACGACUUUGACCAUUUGGACCGACUUCUUCCUUGUUUCUUUUUCCAUCCUAUCUAUGAUUCGAACUGGCCUCGUUUCCAAAGUUAAGUUCUUACCAAGAUCGUCUAGAAUGGCAGGAAGAGCGAUGUCUUGGUCCGUCAGACAUUUCCGGAGCUGGGAGACGUGGAACAUUAUGAAAUGUGUCCAUCUUGGCUGGAAAGUCCAGCUUGUAGGCCACCAUGCCAACUCUUUCAAUAACCUUGAACGGCUCCAAGUAUCUUGGAUCUAAUUUCCAUCUCCAAGAAAUUCGGACUCGUCCUUUGAAGGUAAUCAUUUUGAGAUACAACAAGUCACCUUCUUGAAACUCGAGAUCUUUCCUUCGUCGAUCUGCAUAGUUCUUUUGGCGGUCUUGUGCCUGUCUCAUCUUAUCCCUCAAGAACUUGAUCUUUUCGGUUGUCUCUUCGACAAUCUCCGGACCAAUCAUGCUGCGUUCCCCAACUUGGGUCCAGCACAGGGGUGUCCUGCAUGGACGCCCUUACAGAGCUUCGUAUGGCGACAUGCCAAUACUACUAUGGAAACUAUUGUUGUAAGCAAAUUCCACCAGAGGUAGAUGUUUCUCCCAGGAAUCACCCUAGUCUAAAACACAUGCUCGCAACAUAUCUUCCAACAUCUGGAUCGUACGUUCCGACUGUCCAUCAGUCUGUGGGUGAUAGGCGGUACUCAUGUUCACUCUUGUUCCUAAAGCUUUUUGGAAAGCUUUCCAGAAAUAAGAUGUAAACCUUGAAUCCCUAUCCGACACUAUACUUCCCGGCACACCAUGUAGUCGGACGAUCUCGUCGAUGUAUAUACGUUCAAUCUGAUCGACCCCAUCCGACUUCUUGAUAGCCAGAAAGUGAGCUGAUUUGGUUAGGCGAUCGACAACAACCCAAACCACAUCUUUCUUACUCCUCGUGGUAGGGAACCCGGUCACAAAGUCCAUUGUGAUGUGAUCCCAUUUCCAUUCCGGAAUAGGCAAGCUUUGCAAUAACCCACUAGGCACCUGAUGUUCUUCUUUGAUGAGUUGGCAAGUGGAACACUUGGCCACCCACUCCGCGCAAUCCGCCUUCAUAUGGAUCCAAUGAUAGAACUUCUUAAGGUUCUGGAACAUCUUGGUAGCACCAGGAUGAACCGAGAAACUGGACUUAUGAGCUUCCCUCAUAAUCUCUUCCUUUAGCCUUCUAUCAUUAGGAACACUGAUCCGACCGUUUACUAGGAUGGUACCAUCCUUUGCAGUCUGGUACUCCGUCCUAUCAUUCUGAGCAACCUUGUUAAGGUUCUCGUCUUGACCUUGAGCCAACCGAAUUCGGGUAAGAAGGUCGGCCUGAUUGACUACCUCUAAUCCGAGUGGUUCAGACUCUUUGGUCGAUGCGUUCAACCGUAGGGCAUGGACCGUACUGUCUAGGUUGUCCGCUUCUCGUUCGGCUGAUACGUCGGCCCUUCUCCGGCUCAAGGCGUCUGUGACCAGAUUAGCCUUUCCCGGAUGGUAGGUGAUAUCCAGAUCGUAAUCAGCUACAAACUCCAUCCACCUUCUCUGCCUUAAGUUUAACUCAGGCUGGGUGAAUAUAUACUUAAGACUCUUCUGGUCCGUAAGUAUCUGAACCUUGGCACCAUACAAGUAUGAUCGCCAAAUCUUUAAGGCGAACACUACCGCAGCCAUUUCGAGGUCAUGGGUGGAGUAGUUUCCCUCAUGUUUUCUCAACUGCCUUGACGCAUAGGAGAUGACCUUCCCAUGCUGGGUUAAUAUGCAACCUAGUCCUGUUAUGGACGCGUCCGUAUGAACCACAUAUGGUUGGUCGGCCUCCGGAAGAACCAGAAUGGGUGCGCUAGUCAGCAUGUCCUUAAGUGCGGAAAAGCAUUUCCCACACUCCUCAGACCAUGUGAACUUAACGUCCUUCCCGGUCAACCGUGUCAUAGGCUGAGCCAAGCUUGCGAAUCCUUUCACAAACUUUCUAUAAUAACCUUCCAGCCCUAGGAAGCUUCUGACUUCCGUCGCAUUGCGUGGUCGGGGCCAAUCCUUGAUUGCCCUGAUCUUCUCUGGAUCCACCGAGACGCCCUGGCCGGACAUAAUAUGGCCGAGAAACCAAAUGCUCUUCUGCAAGAAACUGCAUUUACUGAGUUUAGCAUAGAGCAUGUGUUCCCGUAAUCGUUCCAGCAUGGCUCUCAAUUGUUUACGAUGAUUUUCCUCAUCCUUGGAGUAAAUUAGGAUAUCAUCAAUGAAGAUGAUCACUGAUUCAUCCAGGAAGUCUCAGAACACGCUGUUCAUCAUUUUCAUUAAUGCAGCAGGCGCAUUGGUCAGACCGAAUGGCAUAACCACAAAUUCGUAGUGGCCAUACCUGGUCCUAAAUGCUGUCUUUCUAAUAUCAUUUGGCUCUAUAGGGAUCUGAUGAUACCCCGAGGCCAAAUCAAUCUUAGAAAACUACUAGGCUCCUUUGAGUUGAUCCAACAACUCGUCUAUUAUGGGCAACGGGUACUUGUUCUUCACAGUAACCCUGUUCAACCCUCGAUAGUCAAUACACAGACGCAUGCUUCCAUCCUUCUUUUUCACAAAGAGGACUGGUGCACCCCAAGGGGAGCUACUUGGUCGUAUGAACCCCUUGUCUAGGAAUUCUUCUAAUUGCUUCUUUAGCUCGGCCAUCUCGGCCGGAGCCAUUCGAUACGGACUCUUGGACAGCGGAGCUGUCCCUGGUUCUAGUUCAAUCGUAAAUGGAUCCGACCUAUCAGGGGGGACACCCUGUAGCGAACGGAACACAUCUGGGAACACAGACACCAAUGGGUCCUCAGAUAUAUCUUUUUGAUCAUCAGACUUGCCGCGCUCCAUAAUUGUAAUUGUGGUCAAAUAUGUUUCACAACCCCGUCUAAGCAUCCGUUCUGCUCGGAUUGCUGAUACCACUACUAUAUCCAGAGCCGGACUCAUUUUCAGACUUUGGUACUGCAUCGGGUGAGGUCCAGUCUCCAACCGUACACAUCAUCUGUGGCAGUCGAGAGUGGCCCGAUACUUUCCCAACCAAUCCAUGCCUAGGAUCACAUCGUGAUUCUGUAGGCGCAACACAAUCAGAUCUACAGGCAGAUUUUUCUCCUGGAUCAUUACCGGGAUAUUAGUCAUGAGCCCUAGUGAGUGCAUGAUUUGCCCACCGGCCGCCCUCACUAGUCUCGAAUUAUCCCCAGAACAGAGCCAGAACAGACCCUUUCCGACCAGUUCCGGGCUCACAAAACUAUGUGUAGCCCCUGUGUCGAAAAGCACGGGGGUUUCAACACCACCAAUCAUGAGGGUCCCUAUCAGAGACCCACAUCAGAAUCCCCUAGCCACUCUAGAUUCCAGACCAAGCAUUCUAAGGAAUGUAAACAGGUAAAUUCAGAAAUUACCAGAGAUCGAAUCAAACGAUCCAGAAGUGUCCGUGUACUGAACGUGGGUGUCCGUCAGCACACACAGGACGUCCAUUGUAAUAAUCCUCACGAGCAGAUAGAAUUUUGGUCGAGAAAAUUCUUUAAGAUCAGUUUGAAGAUUGAUCUAUCAGAAUUUAAAUAAAAAUCGACACGGUGAAUUAAUCUCUUGACGGGGUUGUCAUUUGGUCAAAAGACCAUCUCUUGAUGGUUCUGGUCGAGUGUUGAUUAUUAUUGUCGAUUUUUACGAGAUUCUCCAAGAACAAAACGAGGGCCGAAGACAAAGAAUAUUUGGUUGAAAAAUUAUUAAAAAUAAUCGACCAACUUCCUAAAUAAUUUCAGUGCUAAGUUAUGUUCUCCACCAGCCUGCUUGCUUAGUAUUGAAUCACAUGUUAUGCACCUGCCUGGUUGCUUAGCUUCUUCAGUAACAGCACAUGCAAGUCACAAUCUGCUUGCUGUGCUUGCUCAUUAAUUCAGUCACAUGAUUGUCACCAGCUGCUUGCAGCUUUCUUCUUGGGAGGGAAAGGUCAGCUGCUUGCUGCUGGAAGUAAUGAAACAGCUCACCACCUGUCUCCUCUCAGCCUUGCCUUGUGUUUUGUGAAACCCUCACCUGAAGUAACUUCCUAACAUAUUUAACUCUUUCUCCACCAGUUUGGUCGUGCAUAAACCUGUGAGAAACACAGAAAAAUCAGGGAGAGAGAAGAGAGAAAAGUGACAGAAAAAUUCAAAGAAAAAUUCAUGAAAAAUUCUGAAACAAAUUCAGAGAAGAGGAGUGAGCAUGGACAAACUUUUCCGACCAUCUUGUGACUUUAAUCAGCGAGUAUUUGUGUGGUAAAUAGUUGGAGAUCUGGUGUCCUGAAGUUGAGAAUCACCAAUGUUCUUUAGCCUUUGAUUUUAAUCGGUAAAGAUGUUUGGUGUGGCUUCAUCUUAAAGUGGAGUAUCAGUUGAGUUCAGACAGUGUUUGAUUUGAACCGGAGUGAAAUGGAGUGUUAUUAGUUGAGCUCGAGUCUAGUCUUACCUAGCCAAUCUCAUGUAUUUAAAGGUGAGUCUAGAUAGAUGAGUGAUGAGUAGUGAAUACAUAUUUCCUGAUUGAACGUACUGAUUGUAGAUGAUUGAUAGGCUUUGUUUUUUGAUCAAUAAUGAAUUGGUAAGGUGUUUACUUAGUGUAAACACUUAUUAAAUAUUUAUGAAUGAUCAUAGAGGUUUAUUCAAAACCUUAGUACUUGUUCUCAAGUACUAAUACAUAUGUAUAGUAUUAAAUAUAAUUAAGUAUGGAAGUAUUAAUCAUGUGAAGUCUUAUUAUAAACCUGUCUUCCAAAAUAUUCCCGUAUAAACGAUGAUUACUGUGAAUUGGUCCUGCGAUAUGGAACAAGGUCACGAAGACACGAUGAUGGGGUUGCACCCUGGAGGCAGUGUAACUGCAUGCAGCGUUAGAUGUUCGAUCUUUGAAUAUCUGAUGGUGAUGAUGGUGAUGCUAAAUCGCUAGACUCAUUUAGCCUUUGUGGUUUCUCGGGUCUGGUAUAUAUAUAUAUAUAUAAAUAUGAUUAUAUGAAUGAUACGAGAGACGGGAAUAGGAAGUGAGGUAUAUGAUUAGAUUCACAAUGAUGGAAAGAUAGUCCUUAUAUAUAAAUAUCCAGAUAUGGAAUAUAUUUCCACUGCAUACAAAUGAAGUUGAUUGUUUGAGAUAUUAUUAAUAUAUGUUGGGGUGCGGGACUAGGCUCACUGAGUAAACUAGUUACUCAUGACUCAUUUGUGAUGCAGGUAACCAAUAGGCGGGAGACCUUACUCUAGGACGGGAAGGAACAACAUUAGCCAGCGGUAGUUUUAUUAUCCUUGCAAAGUCAUUUUGAUAUAUCUUAUGUAUAAGAUUUGUUGACCGAAAACCUCGAGGUUAAUUUAUAACAAAUUUUGUAAGAUACUUUUGAUUGAUAUAUAAAGAAUGUUUUUUUAAAGUACGGGUUCCAUAUGAUAUUAGUCCUUGUCCGGACGAACUAACUAUCGGGUAUUGCUUUGUCGGGUAGAAAAGCCUAGAGUUAUAUCCGAUAGGAGCGUUGGUGUUCUUUGGUUGUUGGUCUAAGGCGAUCGGAAGUAUUCUGAGAACCUCAGAUCGACAAUCGAGGAACAUCGACCGUGUCAUUUCCGGUCAUCUACGAUCAGGGGUGUCACAAAGGUGGUAUCAGAGCAUGGUUAUACGAUGCUAGAAUGGGACUUGUUUCAAAUGUUUUUCGAGUCAAAAUGAGUCGCAAGGAUAACUAGGAUAUGCUGGCUGGUUCCUUUAUUUUAGGAUAGAUUGUCAUGGGUAGUUACCUAACCGUGAUCUUUCAUAGCAGAAGCACCGAUACAUGAUUGAACGGGUGGACCGUGCUUACCGAUGUUACUAUCAUUAUGCUUGAGUUUGCUACCCUCAUGGUCGGGUUCACUACCAUCCUGUUAGGAAUCAGUAACCACAUGCCUUCCUGCCGUUCUUUUGAGUUCUAGUGGGUGUGCCAAUUCUUUAGGGGGAUAUAUGGGACAUAAUUGAUACAUCGAAUACAUCUAUAGACUCGUGUGUUAUCGAUGUCAAGGUGGGUGUUGAUUGUGAUCCGAUUCAGAGAGAUUCGACUACACAUGAUCACUCAGAUGCACUUGUUCUACCUUCUGCUCAUGUUGACCCAGUUUAUGAUGAGCCGUACCAGGACCAGAGCCGUACAAUCCUGUAUUGUUCAUCAUUUAUUUUAAGCUUAUAAUUGAUAGCUCGACUUUAUUACAAGAUGGUUGAAGCACAUGAAGCAUUUUGUUUGCAAUGAGACAUCAUGAAGCUUAUGAAGAAAAGAAGAAGAAGUUGGGACCAUAAGAUACUGAAGAAACACUAAACCGUUUGAGGUAUACUUUGGCUUGAGGCAGAUUUGGGAUGAAACACCCAGAGCAAAACAUUGACGUGGCCAAUGUUCAGAGAAUUACAUGAAGGAUUUGGUAGCAAGCUAUUUAGAGAUGAAUGCGAUGAGUUGUUUGUCGAGAGUCAAGAAUUACUUCAGAGAGGUAAGAUCGAGUUGGACAGAUCUCAAGAGUUUAAGUAGUAGAAUUUUCUACACAAGACAUGGGACCGAAUGCAAAUUCUGUUCACAAGAGUUAUGCAGAGUAAAGAAUUUGGUUAUCUUGAAAGUGUCUGCUCAGAAAAGAAAGGAUCAGUUGGGGGAAUCAAGGGAUCGACCAUGAGUUGUUUUGAUAUGGGAAGAUUAAGAUAAGGUAAGAGCUAAUAUCCAGAACUCCUUUCAGAGACUGUUCAGUAAAGAGUGUACAGCUACGUUUUCAGAAUUCGGGGACGAAUUCUUUUGAGGGGGGAAGAAUGUAAUAACCCUCACGAGCAGAUAGAAUUUUGGUCGAGAUAAUUUUUUAAGAUCAGUUUGAAGAUUGAUCUAUCAGAAUUUAAAUAAAAAUUGACAGGGUGAAUUAAUCUCUUGACGGGGUUGUCUUUUGGUCCUUGGACACAGCACGCUGACCCUUCCCGUGGACUCUUCGGGUGAUUUUGGCCCACAUGGGCUGUCUGUUCCGUACACACAGGACAUCCGUGGGUGUCCGCCAGCACAGGCAAGACGUCCGUGGCUGUCCGUGUGUGUCCGUGUGUCUCCGUCAGCACACACAGGACGUCCAUGGCUGUCCAUGUGUGUCCGUCAGCACACACAGUACGUCCAUGGCUGUCCAAAAGUACACAUAUCAGCACGUUUGUCCUUGGACUCAAGACGCUGACCCUUCCCAUGGACUGUUCGGGUGAUUUUGGCCCACGUGGGCUGUCUGUUCAGUACACACAGCACAUCCGUGGGUGUCCGUCAGCACACACAGGACGUCCGUGGGUGUCCGUCAGCACAUACAGGACGUCUGUGGCUGUCCGUGUGUGUUCACCAGCACACACAGGACGUCUGUGGCUGUCCGUCAGCACACACAGGACGUCCAUGGCUGUCCAUGUGUGUCCGUGUGUGUCUGUCAGCACACACAGGACGUGCGUGGCUGUCCAUCAGUACACAUAUCAGCACGCUGGUCCUUGAACUCAGCAUGCUGGCCCUUGCCAUGGACUGUUCGGGUGAUUUUGGCUAACGUGGGCUGUCUGUUCGGUACACACAGGACGUCCGUGGGUGUUCGUCAGCACACACAGGACGUCCGUGUGUGUCCGUCAGCACACACAGGACGUCCGUAGUUGUCCGUUUGUGUCCGUGUGUGUCCGUCAGCACACACAGGACGUCCGUGGCUGUCCGUCAGCACACACAUGACGUCCGUGGCUGUCCGUGUGUGUCCGUCAGCACACACAGGACGUCCGUGGCUGUCCAUCAGUACACAUAUCAGCACGUUGGUCCUUGGACUCAGCACGCUGACCCUUCUCGUGGACUCUUCGGGUGAUUUUGACCCACGUGGGCUGUCUGUUGUUCAGUACACACAGGACGUCCGUGGGUGUCCGCCAGCACAGACAGGACGUCCGUGGCUUUCUGUGUGUGUCUGUGUGUCUCCGUCAGUACACCCAGGAUGUCCAUGGCUGUCCAUGUGUGUCCGUGUGUGUCCGUCAGCACACACAGGACGUCCGUGGCUGUCCAUAUGUACACAUAUCAGCACGUUUGUCCCUGGACUCAGCAAGCUGACCCUUCCCAUGGACUGUUCGGGUGAUUUUGGCCCACGUGGGCUGUCUGUUCAGUACCCACAGCACAUCCGUGGGUGUCCCUCAGCACACACAGGACGUCUGUGGGUGUCCGUCAGCACAUACAGGACGUCUGUGGCUGUCCGUGUGUGUUCGCCAGCACACACAGGACGUCCGUGGCUGUCCGUCAUCACACACAGGACGUCCAUGGCUGUCCGUGUGUGUCCGUGUGUGUCUGUCAGCACACACAGGACGUGCGUGGCUGUCCAUCAGUACACAUAUCAGCACGCUGGUCCUUGGACUCAGCACGCUGACCCUUCUCGUGGACUGUUCGGGUGAUUUUGGCCCACGUGGGCUGUCUGUUCAGUACACACAGGACAUCCGUGGGUGUUCGCUAGCACACACAGGACGUCCGUGGCUGUCCGUGUGUGUCCAUCAGCACACACACGAUGUCCGUGGCUGUCCGUGUGUGUCCGUCGGCACACACAUGACGUCCGUGGCUGUCCAUCAGUACACAUAUCAGCACGCUGGUCCUUGGACUCAGCACACUGGCCCUUCCCGUGGACUGUUCGGGUGAUUUUGGCCCACGUGGGCUGUCUGUUCAGUACACACAAGACGUCCGUGGGUGCUCGUCAGCACACACAGGACGUCUGUGGGUGUCCGUCAGCACACACAGGACGUCCGCGGCUGUCCGUGUGAGUCUGUGUGUGUCCUUGGGUGUCCGUCAACACACACAGGACGUAUGUGGGUGUCCGUCAGCACACACAGAACGUCUGUGGCCGUCUGUGUGUGUCCGUCAGCACACACAAGACGUCUGUGGCUGUCCAUCAGUACACAUAUCAGCACGUUGGUCCUUGGGCUCAGCACGCCUUCCCAUGGACUGUUCGGGUAAUUUUGGCCCACGUGGGCUGUCUGUUCAGUACACACAGGACGUCCGUGGGUGUCCGCCAGCACACACAGGAUGUCUGUGGCUGUCUGUGUGUGUCCGUGUGUGUCCGUCAGCACACACAGGACGUCCGUGGCUGUCCAUCAGUACACAUAUCAGCAUGCUGGUCCUUGGAUUCAGCACGCUGGCCCUUCCCGUGGACUGUUCUGGUGAUUUUGGCCCACGUGGGCUGUCUGUUCAGUACACACAGGACGUCCGUGGGUGUCUGUCAGUUCACACAGGACGUUCGUGUGUGUCCGUCAGCACACACAGGACGUCUGUGGCUGUCCAUCAGUACACAUAUCAGCACGUUGGUCCUUGGACUCAGCACGCUGACCCUUCCCGUGGACCAUUCGGGUGAUUUUAGCCCACGUGGGCUGUCUGUCCAGUACACACAGGACGUCCGUGGGUGUCCGCCAGCACACACAGGACCUCCGUGGCUGUCCGUGUGUGUCCGUGUAUGUCUGUCAGCACACACAGGACAUCCCUGGCUGUCCAUCAGUACACAUAUCAGCACGUUGGUCCUUGGACUCAGCACGCUGACCCUUCCCGUGGACUGUUCGGGUGAUUUUGGCCCACAUGGUCUGUCUGUUCUGUAGACACAGGACGUCCGUGGGUGUCCGCCAGCACACACAGGACGUCCGUGGCUGUCCGUGUGUGUCUGUGUAUGUCUGUCAGCACCCACAGGACGUCCCUGGCUGUCCAUCAGUACACAUAUCAGCACGUUGGUCCUUGGACUCAGCACGCUGACCCUUCCCGUGGACUGUUCGGGUGAUUUUGGCCCACAUGGUCUGUCUGUUCAGUAGACACAGGACGUCUGUGGGUGUCCGCCAGCACACACAGGACGUCCAUGGCUGUCCGUGUGUGUCUGUCAGCACACACAGGACGUCCGUGGCUGUCCAUCAGUACACAUAUCAGCAUGCUGGUCCUUGGACUCAGCACGCUGGCCCUUCCUGUGGACUGUUUGGGUGAUUUUGGCCCACGUGGGAUGUCUGUUCAGUACACACAGGACGUCCGUGUGUGUCCGUCAGCACACACAGGACGUCCGUGUGUGUCCGUCAGCACACACAGGCGUCCGUGGCUGUCCGUCAGCACACACAGAACGUCCGUGGCUGUCCAUCAGUACACAUAUCAGCACGCUGGUCCUUCCCUUGGCUGAUUUUGGACAACCAUAGACUGUCCGUGGACUGCCCAUCAGUACACAUAUAAGCAAGCUGACCACACAUAUCAGCAUGGUCGUCCUUCCCAUGGGCUGUUCGUGUACUGAUUUUGGACAACUGAUGCACCAUGUCAGUACACAUAUCAGCACGCUGGCCCUUUCCGUGAACUGUUAUUGUACUGAUCUGGACAUGAGCUCAAGUUUUGAUUGACUGGACUGUCCAAGUCAGUCUGAUUGAUGCUAGCCCGAGUUCUAAUGAACUGAUGGUCCAAGUGUACUUAUGCUGGCUCGACUUUUCAUCAUCCCACCAAGUGUUAACGUUUUUCCCUUGGUUUUUAUUGUGGUAUGAUCGAGGUCAAGCGUACUGAAGGGCAAGCAUACUGAAGGGAUGAAUGAAAACUCUUUUGGGUUUUAAUGCUCCCAUCAGGAUGCUUUUGGCCGAGACUUAUGCACAUGCGGGCUGCAUUUCAUCGGCCAAUCUGAAAUAUUAGGGCGAGAGUGAAUUUCACCAAGUAAAAAUCUCGAACCUCCAACGACUUCUUCUUAUAUACUUGAAUAUUUUUUGGGUUUUUUGUUUUUAACGUUUUGGGGCGGAACGUGUGAUUGGAAAGGGGGAGGGUCGAAUCUUAUCGACAAAGGGCUGAAUUUCAGUGGAACGUGGCAGCAAGGCCACUCUGCCACUUACAAUACCCCGUCGCGUAUUUAAGGCAGGCGCAUGUGUCGCUUCUAGCCCGGAGUCUGACUUAGAGGCGUUCAGUGAUAAUCCAGCGCACGGUAGCUUCGCGCCACUGGCUUUUCAACCAAGCGAGAUGACCAAUAGUGCGAAUCAACGGUUCCUCUCGUACUAGGUUGAAUUACGAUUGCGACGCGGGCAUCAGUAGGGUAAAACUAACCUGUAUCACGACGGUCUAAAUCCAGCUCAUGUUCCCUAUUGGUGGGUGAAUUCUGCUUCACAAUGAUAGGAAGCCGACAUCGAAGGAUCAAAAAGUAACGUCGCUAUGAAUGUGACACCCCCGAUCGUAGAUGACCGGAAAUGACACUGUCAAUGUUCCUCGAUGGUUGAUCUGAGGUUCUCAGAAUACUUCCGAUCGCCUUAGACCAACAAUCAAAGAACACCAACAAUCAAAGAACACCAUCGCUCCUAUCGGAUACCACUCUAGGCUUUUCAACCCGAGAAAGCAAUACCUGAUAGUUAGUUCGUCCGGACAAGGACUAAUAUCAUAUGGAACCCGUACUUUAAAAAAACAUUAUUUAUAUAUCAUUCAAAAUAAUCUUACAAAAUUUGUUAUAAAUUAACCUCGAGGUUUUCGGUCAACAAAUC
rnacentral:lncRNA from 1 species